GAUGAACGCUGGCGGCGUGCCUAAUACAUGCAAGUCGAGCGAACGGACGAGAAGCUUGCUUCUCUGAUGUUAGCGGCGGACGGGUGAGUAACACGUGGAUAACCUACCUAUGAGACUGGGAUAACUUCGGGAAACCGGAGCUAAUACCGGAUAAUAUUUUGAACCGCAUGGUUCAAAAGUGAAAGACGGUCUUGCUGUCACUUAUAGAUGGAUCCGCGCUGCAUUAGCUAGUUGGUAAGGUAACGGCUUACCAAGGCAACGAUGCAUAGCCGACCUGAGAGGGUGAUCGGCCACACUGGAACUGAGACACGGUCCGGACUCCUACGGGAGGCAGCAGUAGGGAAUCUUCCGCAAUGGGCGAAAGCCUGACGGAGCAACGCCGCGUGAGUGAUGAAGGUCUUCGGAUCGUAAAACUCUGUUAUUAGGGAAGAACAUAUGUGUAAGUAACUGUGCACAUCUUGACGGUACCUAAUCAGAAAGCCACGGCUAACUACGUG
rnacentral:rRNA from 1 species